rnacentral:rRNA from 1 species
UUGAAAGGGAAACGGAAUUAGAAGCCUAGUCGUACCUUCGGGUAAUCGAGCCGUUUUGGGUGUGAUUUUGUGGAACGUGAGGAGUUAAACGCCUUCAUGCCUGCAUAUUCGUGCACUUUGGGUGUACUUGCCCGUAUGGUUGGUUAACAUCAAUUUUGAUGGUCAUAAAAUGACUGGAGGAAUGUAGCUUCGAUCUCGUAUUGAAGUGUUAUAGCCUUCGGUAGAUGUGAUGAUCGAGAUUGAGGAUUGCAACGGAUACCCUUCGGGGCUACCUGUCUGAUCUCUGAUCGUUGCUCUGGUGCCGAAAGCUUGCUUACGGUUAUCAAAGUCGAUGGUCAAUAGGUUAGAACGGGUUAAAUUCGUUAAGGAUGUUGACGUA